rnacentral:lncRNA from 1 species
UUAACUGAAUUCACAUAACUUCUAUUCUGCUUCUAAUUUUCAUUUCAUCCUCCUGGCCUCUUGUAGAAUCUAGUAUCACUCAUCCAUAAUUUCAAAGCCUAGAUGGAUUGUUCCACUUUUUGUUCUUUGACGAACGUCACUUAGAUAAAGAAGGCAAAAUUACCAAGACCACAAAGCUAAGAAAGAGUUACACUACUAUUGAAGUUUCCAGAACUGCUGCAUAUACACAGUGACUGAAAGGACUCAAUUUACUGCAACUGCUGCCUGGCUUUUACUUACAACUUUCUUUAAAGGAACUUGCCUUCCAUCUGUCUUUACAAGGUUUUAAAGCCAGUGAUUGAACCCCUCAUCUGGCUCUGAGGAUUAUGGAUUUUAUUAGACUUGGGUCUCCUUGUCUGAGCUUCAAGGAAAGAUUGGUGGGUGGAGCCAAAGCCAUUUCAGAGAAGGUCUCAGGUGGUUGUCCAGCAACUCAGGCUUGAGGGAAUCGGUGGAUGGGAUUUUCAUCACCAAACAAUAGAAGACUUCAGGUGAGAAUCUUCUGACAUGAACAGAUGGGCUGGAUGUCUGAGACUCUUGUGUUCUCUUGGUCUACUCCUCUUCCAUCUACUCCACCCAAGACCAGGAGACAGAGGUGUCUCCCUCCCCC